rnacentral:lncRNA from 1 species
AAAAAAUUAAAAAAAAAAACGAAAAGAAAAAACGAAAAAAAAAAAACGAAAAAAAAAAUAUAUAUAUACUCUGAGGUUUCCUUGAAACUUCAUUUGAGCCCACAAAGCCAUGAAAAUCAGGUUAUAAAAGAGGAAGAUCAGACAGAAAAAGGAAGAGAAGCAAAAUACUCUGAGGUUUCCUUGAAACAAAACCUGGAGAGGAACCUGACAGAGAACUCAGAGCAACCCCCAUCUCACGUAAACCCUAACAUUUC